rnacentral:lncRNA from 1 species
AGGGUCUGAGUGUCGUCUCAGGAAGAAGAAAAUGUCUGGGAGGAUGGUUGCCCCGGGCCUGCAAAGAACACCCUUCUUGGGCCUCCAUCUAUUUACCUUGACUUUGUGCUUUCCAUCUUUGCUUUUACAAAUUAGGAAAAAUUGCAAGUGUUAGUAGCUCAGUCAGCUCUUUGUGAUACCCUGGACUGUGAUCCACCAGGCUCCUCUGUCCAUGUAAUUCUCCCGGCAAGAAUACUGGAGUGAGUUGCCAUUCCCUUCUUGAGGGGAUCUUCCCCACCCAGGAAUCAAACUGGGUCUGUAUUGCAGGCAGAUUGUUUACCUUCUGAGCCACCAGGGAAGCCCUGGAGGGGCCUCAUUAUACCUCACAUCUGAGCUAGGCAUUUAGACCAAUCUGAGAAUAUAAGCAAACUGGCAGAAGGCAUCUGAUAGAAAGCCCAGCUGCGGGGUAGGGGGCUGGAGUACAUCCUCGGCCCUUUGCUCCCUACCGGGCAUCUCAGGUCAAAGCCUAGCUCAGCCUGGUCCUCCUCAUCCUCUUGGGAUACAGAGGAGGAGGAGGCCUCCACCCUAGAAGAGGCUUGGCUUCUUGUAUCCUGACACGUGCAUGUUUUCUGUUUUAUAGGAAGAAAUGUGUCUUGGCUGGAGGCCCACGUUUCGUUCCAGCACAUCCUUUUUACCAAAAGAGCCGUCCCUGGAGCUGCCAACAGUGUUUACGAGAAAGCUAUCCAACAAUACUUUGGAUCUGGGAGCGUGGCCUGACCACAGACGUGGCCUUCCCCACCCUGAGAACCAUCCAUCAGGAAGCCUGGCGCAUGAUAUGAAAAGUCAGAGGGGCAGAAACAGACGCUGUGCAUGUCCCUGCAAGAGUGAUACAAGAUGACUGAGAAAUGUCAUCUGAGAGAAGGGGAAGGACCAGCUCUACAUUAAAAAGCAAAAGCAGGCGCCACGCCACGGACACAAGCUGGGGGUUCCGUCAGUAUCAGCCAAAAUCUGUUGAGGAAUAAACGACCUCUGCCAGGUGGUAAAGAAGACCAGGACUCAGCAAUGACUUGUUCAUGGCAUUCCACCUGACCAUGGAUGAUGUUCGCUCCAGGGAGCACUGAGCUGCAGUGAGAAUCCCCAAGUGGCCUGAAGCUGGGAGCUGCAGCCCUGUUUUCCCGGGCCAGAGCCUAUUGUGGAGGAGAAGACAAGGAAGCAGGCUGCCAUCGAGGGUGUUUAGUAUAGGGAAGUAUCGAUUCCUCAGGUAAGACUGCCUUUGGACAGCCAGGGGAUUACAAUUAGUUUGGGAGGAAAGAGGAAGGGAUCUAGGACUAAAUGAGGGAAUGAUGACCACUGAGAGACAACCUGAGGAUCUCAGGCAGGGCCUGGAUGCCGAGGCAGAGCAGUCCUCCCACCUGUGAUGCUUAGCUCCGCCUGACUCUGCACACCAGCGUCAGGAUUUGAGGUGGUGUUCACGAGUGCGUGGCGGUCAUAGGCAGGAUUGCACCUCUCUGAAUGUCAUACACUGAAGCUUGAACCUGUAUUUGGAGAUAAGUCCUUUCAAGAGGUAAUUAAGGUUAAAUGAGGUCAUAAGGAUGGGGCUGUAAUCUGAUUGGACUAGUGUCCUUAUGAGAAAGGAUAGUGACACCAGAGUUCUCUCUCCACACAUGCGCCCAGAGAAGAGGGCAUGUGCAGACACAAGACAUCGUAAGAAAGCCAAGGAGACCAGCAUCACGCGGAAGCUGCUGGCACUUGAUGUUGGGCUUUUAGCCUCCAGAACUGUAAGAAAAUAAAUUUCUGUCAUUCAGGG